ensembl:lncRNA NR2F1-AS1 NR2F1 antisense RNA 1
GGACGGGAGCCGCUCCCGGGCGGCACACAGCCGAGUCCCUCCUCCCCUCCCCGCAGGCAGCCUGUGCCUUUUCUCCAAACGAAGACAGCACUUUGAAAAUUCUUUCAAUGGAUUUUUUUUUCCUUGAAAGAUCGUACUGGGGGAAAAUGAUACUUCUAUUAGUUACAUAUUCUCCAAUCGCAUACUCGCACCCCCCUCGUUUUGAGAUCGCUCCCCUAGGCAGGCUCAGGCGGGCGCGGAGCCGCGCGGAGUGACAAAGCCGCCGCUGCCGCCGCCGGGGGUGGGAGCCGCGCUCGCCCGCCCGCCCCUCGACUCGCGAGGGCGUAAAAGUUUGUCUCAGCUCGAGCAUUCCUAGCGCCAACACGCCCUCAGGUAAAGGUGGAAGUAAAUGGCCACGCUGUAUUGACAGAGCAGGUAGAUGAAACUCAAGAGAAAAGGUGUGGAUAAAUGAAACUAGCCCAUGAUGAACCUGUUUUCUCCGUGACCACAAUAUUAACCAGGAUGAAUGGCGGUGGCAGUGGGCCUGCAUCACAGGUUGCAGCAGAUGUUCUCAAUAUUUCUAUUAAAAUUUCCUUAUUUCCAUAUGCAAGAGGAGCCCCAGAGCUGCAUCCUUAUGGUAGCUACCAUGCCGUGAUGUAAGCUGCCAUUCACUGGGGAGCUUUGGCAAUAGAAUUGGCUAGAUCAGGAAGCCUAUGUCAACUAUGGAACAACAACUUGCAGCUCAUCUCUAUUGAUGAUGGAAUCUCGCUAUGUCACCAGGCUGGAGUGCAGUGGCGCAACCUCGGCUCAGCGCAACAUCCGCCUCCCGGGUUCAAGUGAUUCUCCUACCUCAGCCUCCUGAGUAGCUGGGAUUACAGGAAUCUAAUGACCAUUGAACUGUGGCCAUGACUUCAAUUACAAGUAUUUUCUUCACUAAUGUCAGACUGUGGGCCUUUGUAUAUACACUUUUAACAAACUUUUUGGAAGUGCAAUACAUAUCGCAACAACUUCUCAAUGCUGAAUCAUAGUAUUGGAAGACAUUUUAAGCAACAAUUAAACUCAACUUAUUUACUACCAAUAAUGUACAUAAGUCAGCUGAAGUGAGGAUAACAUGAAUAGCACAAAUACAUUAUGAUUGCUGCCUGGCCAACAGUAAUUAUAAGAAACUGUCAGUUUUGAGAUGUGUCUUGAUUUCAGAGAUGUUAAAAAAGUUUGUAAGUUACCAUUGAUAAAAUAUGAGUUUGCUUCCACAAAUAUUCUUUCUUCUGUCCUUCUGGAACUCAAGAGUAAACAUAUAUUAGAUUUUCUCACCAUUUCAUGCAUGCUGGUUCCUAGGCUACUCUCUGAGUCAUUUUUUUUUUCUUAUCUGCCCUCCAGUUCACUAGUUCUGUCAUUUUCUGGGUCUGAUCUGCUGCAAAUGCAAUACAUUGAGUUUUAAAUUUCAGUCAUUGUGUUUUCAUUUCUAGAAAUUUCAUUUGACUCUUUCUCAAAUUACUUUUCCAUUUUUUUUGUAGUUUCCUAUCCCUGGAGAUAUUUUCAAUCAUGCCAUUUAAUUUUUUAAAUACGCAAGUGUAGUUUUAUAAUUUGUGUCUGAUAAUUCUAAUAUCUGAAGUCUUAGUAGGUCUGUUUCAGUUGUCCUGUAAUUAUGCAUGUUUUUGCCCAUGUUGCUUUGUUUCCUUGUAUGCUUGGUUAUCUUUCUUACUGCCCUUGCAAAAUUAUUUGGAGAGUCCUGGAGGCUUAAAUGAAGAUAACUUUUAGGAAUAAUUUGCAUUUGCUUUUGCCGAGGAUCUUGGGAUCAUUUCAACCAAAAUCUUAGCUUGAAAUUCCGCAAUCAAUCAAGGUGAUGAGAACCUGGUCAGUAAAUCCUAAUGAGGGCCAGGCUGUGGCCAAAGAUUUUUAGACAGAUGUUUCCCUCCUUUGCCAUUUCUCUUUUCUUUCCUCCUCUGCUCCUCUUAGUGUCCAGACAACCUUCAUGGAAGUCCUUGGGGUGGGUGGGAAAUGAGGACGGCAGGUUUCAUUCUAGGUAUAGCCCUUUGAGGUCUAACUUAAUGCAGAGAGAGUUUUCUGGUCUAUGUGCCACCUUACAUGGGAUCUUGAGCCUUGAUUUCUAAACCCCUUGCCUUUGAUGUUUCAGAAUUGAAGCUUAAAUUUGCCAACAGGCAAAUGUCCUCAAGGCAAAUUGGCUUAGGUGUUCGAUAUUCUUCUUACCAGAAAGGUAAACUUGGGUUUUUUACUUCACCCAGGAUUUGGCAUGACAGUUCCCCAUUAUCUUGUCAGCUUAGUGCUUUAAGUGAUUGCAUUUAAAAAAAUUCUGCAUUUUCAGUUUUUAGCAGGAGGAAUGGCCUCAACUAGUGGUUUUCAACUGGGGAUGAUUUUUUUCCCCUAGGGGACAUUUGAUAAUGUUUGGAGAUGUUUUAGUUGUUAGAACUGGGGUUGGGGGAACUACUGUCAUCUGGUGGGGAGAGACCGGCAAUGCUGUUGAUCUUACUAUAAUGCACAGGCCACCCCCAACAACAAACAAAUUACAUAGCCCCAAAUAUCAAUAAUGCCAAGGUCCAAAUAACCUAACCUUCCAUUACUGAAAAUAGAAGUUCAAGAAGAUAGUUUAUAAUUUAAAAAUUUUUAGGUCUUAAUAAGUUGUCAUACUUUCACAGGUUUUAUUUCAUACUAAGUAAUUUAUUUCAAAUUUUACAUUCCAAUUACAGAAAAUUUUCUAAGCCAGUUUUUGUUCUUCAUGAGUAUUACUAUCAAGGUCACAUUUUUCAUCUAGUAUGUUUUACCCUGGUACUUGUUGGCAGGGUCAGGACUAAGGUGAGAUGCGCAAGGCAUUUGCCUCACACAAAAUGCACAAUGAAUAAAAUGUCAAAACUUUAAAUAAAGACAGAAUCACUAAAAGUACUUUGCCAUAUUGGAACCUGAGGCAAAAAGAAAAAUAAGUAAUAAUAUUUAAAAUUUUGAUCUCUUGUUCAUUGUAGAUUUUUACAUUAAUUUUGAUUGUUUAAAACAUUGCAUUAAAAUAUUAUUUAAUGUG